AUCGGACUGGGCGUAAGCGCACGCAGGCGGUCUGUCAAGUCGGAUGUGAAAUCCCCGGGCUCAACCUGGGAACUGCAUUCGAAACUGGCAGGCUAGAGUCUUGUAGAGGGGGGUAGAAUUCCAGGUGUAGCG
rnacentral:rRNA from 1 species